rnacentral:tRNA from 1 species
CCUCUGGUAGCUCAGUUGGUAGAGCUUUGGACUGUAGAUCCAUAGGUCGCUGGUUCAAAUCCGGCCCAGAGGA